AAAGGAAUUGACGGGAGCCCGCACAAGCAGUGGAGUAUGUGGAUUAAUUCGACGCAACGCGAAGAACCUUACCUGGGCUUGACAUCCUGCUAACGAGGCAGAAAUGCAUAAGGUGCCCUUCGGGGAAAGCAGAGACAGGUGGUGCAUGGUUGUCGUCAGCUCGUGUCGUGAGAUGUUGGGUUAAGUCCCGCAACGAGCGCAACCCUUAUGAUUAGUUGCUACGCAAGAGCACUCUAAUCAGACUGCCGUUGACAAAACGGAGGAAGGUGGGGAUGAUGUCAAAUCAUCAUGCCCCUUAUGUCCAGGGCUUCACACGUACUACAAUGGCGCAAAACAGAGGGGGGCAAAGGCGUGAGCCGGAGCAAAUCCUAAAAAAGCGUCCCAGUUCGGAUUGCAGGCUGAAACUCGCCUGCAUGAAGUCGGAAUUGCUAGUAAUCGCAGAUCAGCAUGCUGCGGUGAAUACGUUCCCGGGCUUUGUACACACCGCCCGU
rnacentral:rRNA from 1 species